GCUCAACGUGGAACUCUAUCAACUGUGGAAGGUAUAUUGGUACGAGCCGCAGAUGAAUUAGAAGCCCUUCAAGAGGAACGUAGGAAGGUGGAUCCUCAGACUGCUGAAGCAAUAGACCAGUUUCUCCUGAAACUGAAAGCUUGUGCCAUGGGAGAUUCAUCAUUCUCCUUCAUCUUGGAUGAUCCAGCUGGAAACAGCUUCAUUGAGAACCCAUUUGCACCAGCUAAAGAUCCAUCAUUAAGUAUCAAGUUUUAUGAGCG
rnacentral:misc_RNA from 1 species